GUAGGUGGCAAGCGUUGUCCGGAAUUAUUGGGCGUAAAGCGCGCGCAGGCGGUUCUUUAAGUCUGAUGUGAAAGCCCACGGCUCAACCGUGGAGGGUCAUUGGAAACUGGAGAACUUGAGUACAGAAGAGGAAAGCGGAAUUCCACGUGUAGCGGUGAAAUGCGUAGAGAUGUGGAGGAACACCAGUGGCGAAGGCGGCUUUCUGGUCUGUAACUGACGCUGAGGCGCGAAAGCGUGGGGAGCAAACAGGAUUAGGUACCCUGGUAGUCCACGCCGUAAACGAUGAGUGCUAAGUGUUAGGGGGUUUCCGCCCCCUUAGUGCUGCAGCUAACGCAUUAAGCACUCCGCCUGGGGAUACGGCCGCAAGGCUG
rnacentral:rRNA from 1 species